GGGGAUUUGGCUCAGUGGUAGAGCGCUUGCCUAGCAAGCACAAGGACCUGGGUUCGGUCCCCAGCUCUG
rnacentral:tRNA from 1 species